CACGUAGGGGGCAAGCGUUGUCCGGAUUCAUUGGGCGUAAAGAGCUCGUAGGCGGUUCGAUAAGUCGGGUGUGAAACCUCCAGGCUCAACCUGGAGACGCCACCCGAUACUGUCGUGACUAGAGUCCAGUAGGGGAGCGUGGAAUUCCUGGUGUAGCGGUGAAAUGCGCAGAUAUCAGGAGGAACACCAGCGGCGAAGGCGGCGCUCUGGGCUGGAACUGACGCUGAGACGCGAAAGCUAGGGGAGCGAACAGG
rnacentral:rRNA from 1 species